rnacentral:rRNA from 1 species
UACAGAGGAGCCAAGCGUUGUCCGGAUUGACUGGGCGUAAAGCGCACGCAGGCGGUUGCGCGCGUGGGGUGUGAAAUCUGGCCGCUUAACGGCCAGGCGCCAUCCCAUACGGCGCGACUGGAGUGAUGCAGAGGUCGAUGGAAUUGCCGGUGUAGUGGUGAAAUGCGUAGAGAUCGGGAGGAAUACCUGUGGCGAAGGCGGCCUACUGGGCCGGACCUGACGCUGAGGAGCG